rnacentral:rRNA from 1 species
GACGAACGCUGGCGGCGUGCUUAACACAUGCAAGUCGAACGGAAAGGCCUGCUUUCCCUUGUGGAUUGCGGGUACUCGAGUGGCGAACGGGUGAGUAACACGUGAGUGAUCUGCCCCCAACUUGGGUAUAAGCCUGGGAAACUGGGUCUAAUUCCCGAUAGGACUGCAGGGUGGUGCCUGUGGUGGAAAACGAUUUUCUAGUGGUUGGGGAUGAGCUCGCGGCCUAUCAGCUUGUUGGUGGGGUAAUGGCCUACCAAGGCGGCGACGGGUAGCCGGCCUGAGAGGGUGGACGGCCACAUUGGGACUGAGAUACGGCCCAGACUCCGACGGGAGGCAGCAGUGGGGAAUAGUGGCCAAUGGGCGGAAGCCUGAUGCAGCGACGCCGGGUGGGGGAUGACGGCCUUCGGGUUGUAAACUCCUUUCGACCGCGAGGAAGCCACCUGGUUGGAAGGGUGGUGACGGUAGUGGUAGAAGAAGCACCGGCUAACUACGUG